CCUACGGGAGGCAGCAGUGGGGAAUAUUGGACAAUGGGCGAAAGCCUGAUCCAGCAAUGCCGCGUGAGUGAUGAAGGCCUUCGGGUCGUAAAGCUCUUUUACCAGGGAUGAUAAUGACAGUACCUGGAGAAUAAGCUCCGGCUAACUCCGUGCCAGCAGCCGCGGUAAUACGGAGGGAGCUAGCGUUGUUCGGAAUUACUGGGCGUAAAGAGUACGUAGGCGGUUAUUCAAGUCAGAGGUGAAAGCCCGGGGCUCAACCCCGGAACUGCCUUUGAAACUAGAUAACUAGAGUCUUGGAGAGGUUAGUGGAAUUCCGAGUGUAGAGGUGAAAUUCGUAGAUAUUCGGAAGACACCAGUGGCGAAGGCGACUAACUGGACAAGUACUGACGCUGAGGUACGAAAGCGUGGGGAGCAAACAGGAUUAGAUACCCUGGUAGUCCACGCCGUAAACGAUGAUAACUAGUUGUUCGGUCACUUGGUGACUGAGUGACGCAGCUAACGCAUUAAGUUAUCCGCCUGGGGAUACGGUCGCAAGAUUAAACCANAAGAUGACGNNGAGAGNGCGACGACGACGACGAGGAGAG
rnacentral:rRNA from 1 species